AAAAGUUAAAUAAUUUGAAAUAAUUAACUAUAAAAGGUUAAAGUCCUGUAAGCUUUUGCGUAUAUUUGUAGUAGAAGAGAUUUCGAGGAGAUCUCUUUGAAUAUUGGAGGACCAUACUUCAAACUCUAAAUAUCUUCAUAUGACCGAUAGAAUAAAGUACUGUGAAGGAAAGAUGAAAAGAAUUCUUAGAUGGAAGUGAAAAGAUUUUGAAAUCUAAUACUCUCAACCGACCGAAGUAUUUAUAAUAUGACGGUGUGUCUUUUGUA
rnacentral:rRNA from 1 species